UUUAAAUAACAUGAUCUUUGCUAUCGUUUUUUAAAAAAAAGAUAAAUAAAAAUGAUGUUAUUUUAGGUUU